GUUCUGUCGCUGCUCUAGGGGCUGAAUUAGUGAGGCCGUCAUUACCUAAGCGUCAAAUGAUGUUCCUUGAUCAACGAGUGCUGUUACCAAACAACGAGUUACAUACAUACAUAAGAGUUUUCCGUCCCGUAAAAGCAAAACUUCUGUUGGCUUCACACAGCAAACUUUUCAGUUGCAAUUAUGCGCGAGUGAUUAGAUAGAAGGUGUAUUUUAUCGGUGCUAGCUCGUACGCUUCUGUCGUUCAAAAUGAAUUUUUAUGGGAUGUGGCCAUCUUCAUCCCCGCAAGCUUAUUUGUAUUAUAGAUUAUUCAUCGAUGUAUGUUAUACGAUCGAAUAUUUGUAAUAAAAGCUGUAAAAACCUAAUCGUAUCCUAUCGCAGAGGAUGGCAAAUACUUCUGUUUACGUCGAUCAAGAGACAAUUACCCGUGAAAUUAUGGAAAUACUGGACCAAUAGGUUCCAAAAGGCGUCGCCGUACCAAUGGACCUUUAAUGGUUGUGGAAACAAACGGAAAUAAGAAAAGAGGCUACAGCUUGUCUAACAUGAAACCUAUCGUCUAGCCAAAACUGACAAAGAUCAUCUAUCGAAAAAUUCCGGAUAAGCCGCUUGGGGAUCGGACACGACAUAUUGGAGCGGUAAUUCGGCGCCUUAUCCGGUCUUUUACCGAAACAGUCAAGGGCAAUCGAAUAUCUACUUAAUUACUCUCGACCCAUUUGUUUACGCAAAGCAAGAGAAAUUGUUUAUUAUAUAGAAAAUGAUUUUCAAGUUUAAUUUUUUCCCACACAUUUAUUCAUCUUAUUCCUUGGAUUUUCACUAAUCGACUCAAUGUCUGCGUCAAUAACUCUGUCCCUCGGCGACAAAAAGGUCUUCAAUAAGAGUUGACAAAUUAUCUCAAAAUUGCGCACCACCAUACGGGUAUAUAUGUAAUCAGCACUAUUUCAAAUAAAAAAAAUCGCAAGUUCGAUCGGGCUGCUAAUAUCAACUAUUUCUUUCGGAUCCGUUUUGGUUCAACGAACUCAUUGGCCAUGAUGAAAAACUGCAGAGGAAGUCAAGAACCUUACCGCAUGUUUUGCAAUGCUUAGGGCAGAGUGGCAAACGGCCAACAGGAAGACUAACUAUGUUAUGUCGUGGAGAAAGCAG